AUUGAACGCUGGCGGCAGGCCUAACACAUGCAAGUCGAGCGGAUGAAGGGAGCUUGCUCCUGGAUUCAGCGGCGGACGGGUGAGUAAUGCCUAGGAAUCUGCCUGGUAGUGGGGGGUAACGUCCGGAAACGGGCGCUAAUACCGCAUACGUCCUGAGGGAGAAAGUGGGGGAUCUUCGGACCUCACGCUAUCAGAUGAGCCUAGGUCGGAUUAGCUAGUUGGUGGGGUAAAGGCCUACCAAGGCGACGAUCCGUAACUGGUCUGAGAGGAUGAUCAGUCACACUGGAACUGAGACACGGACCAGAGUCCUACGGGAGGCAGCAGUGGGGAAUAUUGGACAAUGGGCGGAAGCCUGAUCCAGCCAUGCCGCGUGUGUGAAGAAGGUCUUCGGAUUGGAAAGCACGUUAAGUUGGGAGGAAGGGCAGUAAGUUAAUACCUUGCUGUUUUGACGGUACCAACAGAAUAAGCACCGGCUAACUUCGUG
rnacentral:rRNA from 1 species